rnacentral:rRNA from 1 species
GGACGAACGCUGGCGGCGUGCUUACCCCAUGCAAGUCGAACGGAAAGGCCCUGCUUUUGUGGGGUGCUCGAGUGGCGAACGGGUGAGUAACACGUGAGUAACCUGCCCUUGACUUUGGGAUAACUUCAGGAAACUGGGGCUAAUACCGGAUAGGAGCUCCUGCUGCAUGGUGGGGGUUGGAAAGUUUCGGCGGUUGGGGAUGGACUCGCGGCUUAUCAGCUUGUUGGUGGGGUAGUGGCUUACCAAGGCUUUGACGGGUAGCCGGCCUGAGAGGGUGACCGGCCACAUUGGGACUGAGAUACGGCCCAGACUCCUACGGGAGGCAGCAGUGGGGAAUAUUGCACAAUGGGCGGAAGCCUGAUGCAGCAACGCCGCGUGCGGGAUGACGGCCUUCGGGUUGUAAACCGCUUUCGCCUGUGACGAAGCGUGAGUGACGGUAAUGGGUAAAGAAGCACCAGCUAACUACGUG